rfam:Triticum aestivum genome assembly, contig: Triticum_aestivum_CS42_TGACv1_scaffold_555981_7AL
GAAAUACUCCCUUUGUCCCAAAUUACUUGUCGUGUGUAUCUAGAUGUAUUUUAGUUCUAAAUACAUUCAUUUCUACCCAUUUUUGCGACUAGUAAUUUGGGACAGAGGGGGUAUUAU